UGGCGGCAGGCCUAACACAUGCAAGUCGAACGCCUGUAGCAAUACAGGAGUGGCAGACGGGUGAGUAACACGUGGGAACGUGCCCUUCGGUUCGGAAUAACCCAGGGAAACUUGGGCUAAUACCGGAUACGUCCGCAAGGAGAAAGAUUUAUCGCCGAGGGAUCGGCCCGCGUCCGAUUAGCUAGUUGGUGAGGUAAUGGCUCACCAAGGCGACGAUCGGUAGCUGGUCUGAGAGGAUGAUCAGCCACACUGGGACUGAGACACGGCCCAGACUCCUACGGGAGGCAGCAGUGGGGAAUAUUGGACAAUGGGCGCAAGCCUGAUCCAGCCAUGCCGCGUGAGUGAUGAAGGCCUUAGGGUUGUAAAGCUCUUUCGGCGGGGAAGAUAAUGACGGUACCCGCAGAAGAAGCCCCGGCUAACUUCGUGCCAGCAGCCGCGGUAAUACGAAGGGGGCUAGCGUUGCUCGGAAUCACUGGGCGUAAAGCGCGCGUAGGCGGGUCGUUAAGUCGGGGGUGAAAUCCUGGAGCUCAACUCCAGAACUGCCUUCGAUACUGGCGAUCUC
rnacentral:rRNA from 1 species